UCUUAUAACAGUCAUGUACUUCCGUUUUGCUUGGCCUGCAAAAUUGUCCAGGUCCAUAUAGUCUUCUGCAGAUUGCCAUCCGACUCUGAUCGACACUUCUGACGCCUAUACGUCGUAAUCCAAUGCGACCGCUUGUCGCUUGGCUGCAGACAUCUGACUUCACCUACUCUACGAUAGUUGACGGAUCAUCGAGAAGCCGCCGAGUAAGCCUAUUUUCCGAGCAGAGGGGAGCGAUCAUCGCGAAACAGCAACAGCAGUCUGGCAAGGUCGGAAGGGUGUAUGAUCGAUGGUGGAUUAUGGUCUAGAGGCUAAUAUCAGCGGACUAUAAGUGGAGUGCGUGCGCGGAUGGUAGUAGAAGGAGGAUAGAAAACAACAACGGUAGAUGGUCAGAUGGUAGUAGCGAAUUGCGAACAACCUGACAUAGUUACAUGCUGAUAGCUAUCACUUUUUGUAUAACUUGGCAAAGCAUAGUGGGUACAUUCCACAGCAUGCCUCAUUUAUUCUCAUCAAUCAGCAGUUCGGGCAGGAACCCGAAGUAUGCGUCUGCGCGCCGGAUUAACUCAGAGCAAAAUUCCGAAAAAGCUCGCGAAAAGAAGAAGCACACACUCUAUAUUACGAUGCACUGUAUUUAGCCA
rnacentral:sRNA from 1 species